GGCCGGCGGUGGGGGUUUCAAAGGGACUUCAUCCCUUUAAAUAGAGAUAGAGGGGGAGGAGUUGGACUCCUCCUCAGCAUCAUACAUCGACUCGAAUUGGGCAUCCAAUGAUAGAAGAACAACUAACAGGAUUUCUCUCUAUUUUUUAUAUUUUUUUGUCUUGAUGCUGCUUUAAGAUUCAUGCAGGCAGAUUUUGCUGG
rnacentral:lncRNA from 1 species